GCCUUCUUAGCUCAGGGGCUAGAGCAUCGUAUUUGUAAUGCGACGGUCAUCGGUUCAAAUCCGAUAGAAGGCUUCA
rnacentral:tRNA from 1 species